rnacentral:rRNA from 1 species
AACGAACGCUGGCGGCAGGCCUAACACAUGCAAGUCGAGCGAGCAUUUCGGUGCUAGCGGCGGACGGGUGAGUAACGCGUGGGAACGUGCCCUUUUCUGCGGAAUAGUCCUGGGAAACUGGGGGUAAUACCGCAUACGCCCUUUUGGGGAAAGAUUUAUCGGAGAAGGAUCGGCCCGCGUUGGAUUAGGUAGUUGGUGGGGUAAUGGCCCACCAAGCCGACGAUCCAUAGCUGGUUUGAGAGGAUGAUCAGCCACACUGGGACUGAGACACGGCCCAGACUCCUACGGGAGGCAGCAGUGGGGAAUCUUAGACAAUGGGGGCAACCCUGAUCUAGCCAUGCCGCGUGAGUGAUGAAGGCCUUAGGGUUGUAAAGCUCUUUCAGCUGGGAAGAUAAUGACGGUACCAGCAGAAGAAGCCCCGGCUAACCCCGUG